AGCUUUGCGCAGUGGCAGUAUUGUAGCCAAUGAGGUUUAUCUGAGGCGCAAUUAUUGCUAAUUGAAAAUGUUCUGUAUUGCCCUCAGAUUAUGUGUAGAGUUAUAUUACUAAGCGGUACCAGCAAAAGUUCGAUAAACCUUUGUAGGGAUUUUGUGGGGCAUUGAAGAAUG
rnacentral:snRNA from 1 species